rnacentral:piRNA from 1 species
UGUCAAAAUACUCUCCUUGAAGAGGUGU